rnacentral:rRNA from 1 species
CCUACGGGAGGCAGCAGUGGGGGAUAUUGCACAAUGGGGGAAACCCUGAUGCAGCGACGCCGCGUGGGUGAAGAAGUAUUUCGGUAUGUAAAGCCCUAUCAGCAGGGAAGAAGAAAUGACGGUACCUGAGUAAGAAGCACCGGCUAAAUACGUGCCAGCAGCCGCGGUAAUACGGAUGGUGCAAGCGUUAUCCGGAUUUACUGGGUGUAGAGGGAGUGCAGGCGGCACGGCAAGCCUGAUGUGAUAGCCCGGGGCCCAACCGCGGGACUGCAUUGGGAACUACGGGGCUGGAGUGCCGGAGAGGUAGGCGGAAUUCCUAGUGUAGCGGUGAAAUGCGUAGAUAUUAGGAGGAACACCAGUGGCGAAGGCGGCCUACUGGACGGUGACUGACGCUGAGGCUCGAAAGCGUGGGGAGCAAACAGGAUUAGAUACCCUUGUAGUC